rnacentral:rRNA from 1 species
AACGAACGCUGGCGGCAGGCUUAACACGUGCAAGUCGAACGCAUCCUUCGGGGUGAGUGGCAGACGGGUGAGUAACGCGUGGGAACGUGCCCUUCAGUUCGGGAUAACCCAGGGAAACUUGGGCUAAUACCGGAUACGUGCGAGAGCAGAAAGAUUUAUCGCUGAAGGAUCGGCCCGCGUCUGAUUAGCUAGUUUGAGGGGUAAUUGCCCACCAAGGCGACGAUCAGUAGCUGGUCUGAGAGGAUGAUCAGCCACAUUGGGACUGAGACACGGCCCAAACUCCUACGGGAGGCAGCAGUGGGGAAUAUUGGACAAUGGGCGCAAGCCUGAUCCAGCCAUGCCGCGUGAGUGAUGAAGGCCUUAGGGUUGUAAAGCUCUUUCGUCCGGGACGAUAAUGACGGUACCGGAAGAAGAAGCCCCGGCUAACUUCGUGCAGCCGCCGCAGUAA